rnacentral:rRNA from 1 species
UACGGGGGGGGGCAAGCGUUGUUCGGAAUUACUGGGCGUAAAGGGCCAGUAGGCGGCCAACUAAGUCGGAUGUGAAAUCCCCAGGCUUAACCUGGGAACUGCAUCCGAUACUGGAUGGCUUGAAUUCGGGAGAGGGAUGCAGAAUUCCAGGUGUAGCGGUGAAAUGCGUAGAUAUCUGGAGGAAUACCGGUGGCGAAGGCGGCACUCCUGGACCGACAUUGACGCUGAACGG